CACAGAACAAACGGAUAGAACAGUCAGGAAGGACAGAGUAGAAGAAAAAAGGAGAAAAGAAAAAAGAAGAAGAAAAAUACAGAGAGCAGACGGGGACAUGUGCAUUUUUUCCUCGGCUGGCAGCCUCGAUUCCUCCUUCAGCUCCCUCUGCUCACGACUCCCUCUCUCCCUCAGUUACUGCCUCUCCUCGAACCGGUUAAGUCGGCCUUGGAGUCCCUUCUAGGUCCCUCGAGUUGUAGCUGCUGUCACUGAGCCCCCCGUAGCUAGUGUGUUGGUCCCUGGCAGUCCCUCCGUCCUGUGAGGAAGGAAAGGGCCCUAAAUCCCUUCUUGUGGUUCCCUUGUCACCUCACGUGAUUUCCCUUCGAUAUCAGCUCAAAGAAGGUCGAGCCCAAUCCUUUAGGAUACGAUUCACACGGGGUCCAACGCCCCUAACCGUCAAUCAUCGGGUCUAACGCCCUAUACAUACGAAUGCGCGCGACCCGAGUGCUAUAUGGGGUCUUGCCUUGGGUCACCAUCUUGACCCGUUUAGUAUCCAUGUAAGGGAUGACUCGGGUCAAUGCACAUGAAACGAGGUUAGACAAUCACCCAGGAGCUCGACCGGUCCCACGACUAUCUUGAGGACCAUUCCGUCCUCUUGAAAAUCCGUCGGUCCGGUCGGACCUAAUCUUCGGCUCUCAUGAGCUCGCGUCGUUUUAAUUUCAGUUUCGAUUUUUGCUAAGCAUACGAUGAGUUUGAGUAGAAUAAUGACCGAACAUGAAUUGACCGGGAUCCAGUCGUUGUAAUUUGUAUUUUUAUUUAUUUGAGAGAAUAGUGUAA